rnacentral:lncRNA from 1 species
AACAAACGUUGUAACGUCUACAUGGUGUUGGUGGAAGGCCCUUGAAUCACUGACCCUGCAGCACACUUCUGAGCGGCUCAAAUGGCUUCAGUGACUGUCACUUGCUGCACAGCUAGGUGUGAGGCUAGCUGUCCAGAGAGGCUCAAGGGUUAGAAGAGAAUGUCUCACCUCAGUAUCCUUGGAAGCUCUGGGCUCUUGUAGAUGUAUUUAUGUCUGUAGCCAAGGUCUGAGUGAAAGGGGAUAAACUGGACUUUGAAGUCUCGGAAACUCCGAGAUGGUGCAGCAAUGUUGUAUAGCUGGUGAGAGGGAGAGAGGAAUCAGCCUAGAGCCCAACGGAGAACCGCCUAUGACCUCUCCCCUUCAAUAAAGACUGGUGCUUCCUCCAGAGAACAGCCCAAGUGCCCAUAGACACUGCUUCUGUCAUUACAGCCUACACAGCCAGGUCCAAGAAGCCAGAGUCUGGGAAUGCUAGGCAUUGCCACGUCCAUAAAGUCCACCAUUUAUGACCCCUUUUCUGCUCUUCUACUUCCACAGUGCCCUUCCUCUGAAAACAGCUAAGGGGUAGCUCAGUUCCAUGCACCAGGGGUGCGCUGCUGGGCAGUUCACACUCUCUUGGAUGGCUUCAUCUUUGUGUAACGUAUAAAGCCUGCCCAAAGCGAGUCGUGUGCCAAGUCUGUUGAUGAGGCAUGCCAAGCACUUCUCUAGGCACUCCUGUGCCCAGUAUGGUAUUCUUUACACGCCACGCCCCCUCACCCCCCAUCUAAGCCAGCUUUCCAGCAGCAAAGUCAAUGCAGAUUUAGUAGCAGCAAGUGCUAGGUCCCUCCCUGCAGUUUAUCCACGAAGGCAAGAAUAUAGCCUAGAUGUCUUUACAUGAGUUCUGCCAACUGAGCCACAAGUGGUCCCCUCAAUCCUCCCAUGUCAGCCUGGGUUCUAAUGCUUGUUUGUCAUAGUUUCUGGUGGAUAGAACAGCAGUCUGCUCUUGACCCUGACAGUAGACCUCAUAGGUCGUCAAGCACCUGGAAAAGAUGCAGACUAUUGUGAUGGGAGCCCACUUCACAACACAGCGGGCAGAGCCUGCUUCCCUACCUUGCGUGCCCAACCUGAUCUACACUGAGGGCGAAUGGCAACUACUGUACCAGGGGCAGCAUCACACAACACCCACCUUUCUACCGAGAUGAAAGGGCACAACUGGAUCAUCCUCGGCAUGCAAGAUGAGCAGAGGACAGGAGAUGUGCUUCAUACUGCAGGAGAAAGGGGCUGUUAGGUGGAGACCAAAGAGGGGUUGCCUGUACCCAUCACCCUGGGCAGAGAUUUGGGUUUAUGGUGUGUUCUUCCUUGGUGCUUAAUAGCCUGAAUGUAGCUACGUUUCUUUUUACUAUAGAACUAAGAAAUAACUUCUUAGGUUUUGUUCUGUUUUGUUUGAAAUAAUUAUGUAUUUCAGCUAAGUGUUAAGAUGUCAAUCUAGAGGUCAUUUCACUCCCCAACAUCUGAUCCCUGCGUAUUUUAUGAAAAUGGAAAACCAUUAACUUUGCCAGUAGCUACAUUAAUAGUAACAACAACAACAACACACAAUCUUUACAAAUAAGGGUAUUUAAAUGCUCUAAGAAUCUUACUGCAAAUGGGUAUUACUAAGAACCUGUUGGUUAAAAGAAUCCGUGCUCCACUUAAUCUUGUGUAAUUGUCAUUUAAGUCAUUCUAGCUUUGAGUCCUUAAUGGCAAAUGUCACAAUAGGUCCAACAGAGCCAGAGUUCUUCAGCAAGCCACAGCGUCCUGUAGAGCAGCUACCAGGACUGGACAGGGCGACUGGGGUAGCCACUUGAGCUGUUUCAAUCUUGACCUCUAAUAGAGCUGUGCACUUCCCUGAAGUUAGCACAGUGCCAUCCCGACAGAGAGAGCGUGCGACCCCAAACAUAAUGUCCUACUAGCUGGCACCCAGCACACAUAGGACUCAUGUUGGUGCAUUUCUUGUGUAUAUACCCACACACAUGUACAUGUAGGUAAAGGCCAGAGGAUGAUCUCAGACAUUAUCUCCAGGUGCCUGCCUACCUUUUGUUUUGAAACUGGAUCUCUUACUGACCUCAGGCAAUCAGAAACCUGUUUCUGCCUUCUUAGCACUUGAAUUACAAGCAUUAUCUUCAUGCCUGGCUUUUUCUUUACAUGAGUUCUGGAGCUAAAACUCAGGUCUUCAUGCUCACAAGAAAAGCACCCAGUGGUGAGGCAUCUGAUAAGCUGUUUCCUUUAACCUAAGCCUCUUGGAGAAAGCGGCAAAUCCUUGGUACAGAAACUGUCCACGUGAGCGCAGGAGGGUCCCAUUUACCCACGAAGCUGUUAUGCAGGCUCAAGCAGGUUCCACUGGUGCUCGGUCCGCAGCUACUCAUAUCCACCUAUCUCUGUGGGAGAGCUGGAGCCAAAGGCUUCCUGGGGCCAAUACUCACUUUUUUUAAAAGCAAAUUUGCUUUACUCAGAUAACUGUCUUGUAAGAUCUACAAUGGUAAUACUUAAGCAAGGGGUUUUGUUUGUAAUGGUUACUUAAAUUUUAAUAUGGUACAUUUUUAUUUUUAGAAGCAAAAAUACAUACCUGAAGGAAAACUGCUUAUGUUUUCACAUCUAUUUCAAUGUGGUCACUAUUAAAUUUAAAUACUGCUUUAAUGUCUAUUUAGAAGCCCUGGGUUCUAGACUGGAAAAAUAUAUGGACGAAAAUAUGUUAUUAAUUUUUUACAAUUCUUUACUUCUAUACCAAAAGAAAAGUGUUCCCUUUUAAUGACUGUUUUCAUUAUCUACUUGUUCAGUAGAUACAGCGCUCGCUGCACAAUCCUGACAAUAUAAUGUGACUUCUGGAGCCUAUGUAGCAGGCAUCUGUAAUCCCAGCACCCCUGCGGUUAAGACAGGAAACAGAGGCAGGAGGAUGGCCCAGAAGCUGUGGGUCAGCAUGCCUAGAAUAAAUAUGCAGCACGGCAG